rnacentral:rRNA from 1 species
AGUGAACGCUGGCGGUAGGCCUAACACAUGCAAGUCGAACGGCAGCACAGUAAGAGCUUGCUCUUACGGGUGGCGAGUGGCGGACGGGUGAGGAAUACAUCGAAAUCUACUUUUUCGUGGGGGAUAACGUAGGGAAACUUACGCUAAUACCGCAUACGACCUACGGGUGAAAGCAGGGGAUCUUCGGACCUUGGGCGAUUGAAUGAGCCGAUGUCGGAUUAGCUAGUUGGCGGGGUAAAGGCCCACCAAGGCGACGAUCCGUAGCUGGUCUGAGAGGAUGAUCAGCCACACUGGAACUGAGACACGGUCCAGACUCCUACGGGAGGCAGCAGUGGGGAAUAUUGGACAAUGGGCGCAAGCCUGAUCCAGCCAUACCGCGUGGGUGAAGAAGGCCUUCGGGUUGUAAAGCCCUUUUGUUGGGAAAGAAAGGCAGCAGGUUAAUACCCCGCUGUUCUGACGGUACCCAAAGAAUAAGCACCGGCUAACUUCGUG